UACAGAGGGUGCGAGCGUUGUCCGGAAUCACUGGGCGUAAAGGGCGCGUAGGCGGCCCGGUAAGGUUGCGGUGAAAGCCCGGGGCUCAACCCCGGGUCGGCCGUGGCAACUGCUGGGCUGGAGCACAGUAGAGGCGGGUGGAAUUCCGGGUGUAGCGGUGGAAUGCGUAGAGAUCCGGAAGAACACCGGUGGCGAAGGCGGCCCGCUGGGCGUGUUGCUGACGCUGAGGCGCGACAGCGUGGGGAGCAAACAGG
rnacentral:rRNA from 1 species